AAAAAUUAUUUUAAAUAUUUUAAAAUGUGCUACCGAGUUUGGAGCACCAGGAGCAUGAGGGGAAGUACUAGAUAUUUCCCCCUGGGCGAGGUGGGUGGCGGCGCUGCUUCUUUCUAGAGCAUGGCGGCGUGCGUCUUUGUGGUCGACGGGAUGUGGUUUUCGGCUGUGGCUUUGGUGGCUUCGUCGGGGUCUUCGGUGGUUCUUCUUCGUCGGACUCGGGUCCGGAUCUGUUGUUGGCGUUUUCUUCUUCCUCUACAUCAGAUCUUCUUUCUCUGGCGGCGCUUGUGGGAGAGAAGGAGAGGGGCAGCAGACAUUCUUGCCGUGCUUCGUUGUCGGUGUGGCCGCGGGGAGGGUUGCCCUGUCGUUUCGUCAGCUGAUAGGAGUGUGUUGCCAUGCCUCUGGAUGGCCGCCUGCCGGAUCCACGCAGGCCAUAUCGGCUUCUUCUGCUCCACAACAGGUUCUAUUUUCUGUUCUCUUUGUCUUGGUUGUAGUUGGAUAUCUUCAUCUUCGUCCAUGAAGGCGGGCUGCAGGUUCCAAUUCCUUUUUUCUUGUACGAGUUCUAAUCCCCCCUUUUUGAACGAGGUUCCAGUCCCCUUGGUCUCUCUUUGUCUCCCCAAAUCACGGACGUUGCGUCCUCCCGGCAGUCUCCACCAUUAAUCUCCGCUUGCCGUCCAUGUCGUCUCCGUCGCCGCCGCGUCUUGCAGACUGGCGCAUCCCAGCAGCCAGUUUCUCCUCCCAUCUAUGGCGCCUCCAGCUGCUCAAAUUCCGUCCCUCAGAAUUGGCGGAUGUGAAUUUGAUUCAUGCCAAAGUGUGGUCGCCUUAGAUACGGUCAAUGCUGUUGGUUCUGUCCACUGAUGAAAGCAUUAUAUUAGGUUGGUUGAUUGCAAGCAGACAAGGUAAUAUGAAAUGAAGAAGAAUAUGGCCACAUAGUGCAAAUGAUGCGUAUGUGAAGAUAUGAAGAAAUAUAUCUGAAGGAUUAUGUUGUUCAAGUGAAAUGAGAGAAAUACUAUGGAGAUGCAGUCGGGGAGCUUCUACUUUGUCUCAUCUCAAUGAUGUCCUGCUUUUUUGUUUCACCUUUAUUCUAUUAAUUUCCUACAAUUUGAUGCAUCCGAUAUUAAACAUGUGCAUGUAAGAUUCUAUCCAUUGUUCUGCACCUGUGCACCUGGGACAUGUUUCUUGUAGUAAAACUUUAGCUUACUUGCCAUGUGUUGUACCAUUGAAGACUGCCAUUAUUUUACUCGGUUAUCUUUCAGCUA